UACGUAGGUGGCAAGCGUUGUCCGGAUUUACUGGGCGUAAAGAGCGCGCAGGCGGUCGUUCAAGUCGCGUGUGAAAGCCCCCGGCUCAACUGGGGAGGGUCACGCGAUACUGAUCGACUCGAAGGCAGGAGAGGGAAGUGGAAUUCCCGGUGUAGUGGUGAAAUGCGUAGAUAUCGGGAGGCACACCAGUGGCGAAGGCGACUUCCUGGCCUGUUCUUGACGCUGAGGCGCGAAAGCUAGGGGAGCAAACGGG
rnacentral:rRNA from 1 species